AGGUGAGACAUUGUGUUUUGUGUAAUCGCCGUUGGAAAUUUUAAAUUCAAGUUGUGGUACUUGGCCAGGAAAACUAGUAAGACAGCCUCAAGAGCAGGCAAAAACUCAUUCUUUCAACUUGGUAUUAGUUUAUAACAAGACAUACUCAUACAACAAAGACUUUCUAAAAUUAUAUUUUAUCAUUAAAAUUCUCUAAAGCUUUCAUAAAACAUUGUUGUUUCUCCCCAGAUAACAAAGAUAUCUAGAAAAGUGAUUCAUCAUGGUAUGAAAGCACAUGAGAGACAGAGAUUUCAGCUGAAGACAUACCUUAAAAUGUUCUAAAUGGUUCAGCACAAGUCUUUCUAGUCUCUUCUCAAAGGCAGGAAAUGAUGAUAUUUGGGUCUCUACUGAUAAUAUUUUAGCACAUGACAGAAAAUGGCAACAGUCUUAGAUUUGGGGAGCAUUAUUCAUGUGCAUAAUGCAGUCUGACACUCCCUUCAAUGCAAGACCUUCUUCCAGGCUUGGUUUUGUUGCUUUUCCUACACCAAGAAUGAUCACUCUCUUCUAUUGGAGCACCUAUUAGGAGAGAGCAGAGUCCAUUAGCCACUGAAGAGCGUAUCACCGUUUCUGUCACCCCCUGUGGGCUUCCUGUUAACUUGACUUCUGUGGAAGAUUCAGUUUGAUAUCUCCUGGUGUCACGACUGGCAUUAAUUCAUAUUGCCGUAAUGAAAAAUUCUAAGGAGCAAAUAAAGGGGAUUUAGUCUUUGAAGCUGUGUUAUACGCUAACUGCAGCCACACUGUGGAAGUCACACCUCCCCAGAAAAAUAUACAGACUCGGGUCAUUAGGACAUCUUCCUGAAAUCUGACAUUCUAGGAGACGAGUCCAUCAAAUACAGCGUUCUACUCAGGCUAUGUCCACGGCAAGAAUUAGAUUUAUUUUCGCAGAAUUUGACUUUCUUGAGGUAUCAUUUACGUACAAUGAAACGCGCCUACUGUAAGUGUACGCUUAGAUGAGAUUUGAGAGAUGUGUACAUCUGUGGAUCCACCAUCACUACAAUCAAGUUGUGGGAUAUUUACAUCAUCCCCGGAAUUGCCUUUGUUUUCCUUUUCAGCCCAUUUCCUCCCUUGGAGGCCCUGGCAAGCCCUUCUUUACUUUAUACCAUAAUAGACUACUUUUUCUUGUUUUAAAAUUUGAUAUCAAUUCAUUUAUAUAGUAUGUAUUUUUUGGUGUCUCUGUUCUUUUACACAGCAUCAUAUUUUUGAGAGCCAUCCAUGUUGCAGUAUCCAUAGUUUAUUCCUUUUUAUUGCUGAGUAGUUUCCAUUUUAUGGCAUAUCACGAUCUGUUUGUCCAUAUACAUUUAAGUUGUGCCCACCUUUUGGCCACUAAGAGU